AUGGCGAGUGGCGAACGGGUGAGUAACAUAUCGGAACGUGCCUAGUAAUGGGGAACAACGAAUCGAAAGAUUAGCUAAUACCGCAUACGACCUACGGGUGAAAGCAGGGGAUCUUCGGACCUUGCGUUAUUAGAGCGGCCGAUAUCUGAUUAGCUUGUUGGUAGGGUAAAAGCCUACCAAGGCGACGAUCAGUAGCUGGUCUGAGAGGACGAUCAGCCACACUGGAACUGAGACACGGUCCAGACUCCUACGGGAGGCAGCAGUGGGGAAUUUUGGACAAUGGGGGCAACCCUGAUCCAGCCAUUCCGCGUGAGUGAAGAAGGCCUUCGGGUUGUAAAGCUCUUUCGCAAGAGAAGAAAGCUUGCUAUUUAAUAAAUAGUAAGUAUGACGGUAUCUUGACAAGAAGCACCGGCUAACUAUGUGCCAGCAGCCGCGGUAAUACAUAGGGUGCAAGCGUUAAUCGGAAUUACUGGGCGUAAAGCGUUCGCAGGCGGUUUUAUAAGUCAGAUGUGAAAUCCCCGAGCUCAACUUGGGAACUGCGUUUGAAACUGUAAGACUAGAGUGUGUCAGAGGGGGGUAGAAUUCCAUGUGUAGCAGUGAAAUGCGUAGAUAUGUGGAGGAAUACCAAUGGCGAAGGCAGCCCCCUGGGAUAACACUGACGCUCAUGAACGAAAGCGUGGGGAGCAAACAGGAUUAGAUAG
rnacentral:rRNA from 1 species